UUUCCGUAGGUGAACCUGCGGAAGGAUCAUUACUGAGUUAGGGUCUUUAUGGCCCGACCUCCAACCCUUUGUUUAAUCUACCAUGUUGCUUUGGCAGGCCCGCUUAGAAAUGGGCCGCCGGAGACCUUUGAGUCUCUGGUCAGUGCCUGCCAGUAGCCUUUCUAAAUUCAUUUAUAACCGUGUCUGAAUAUACAAAGUAAAAUAAAAAUAAAACUUUCAACAACGGAUCUCUUGGUUCUG
rnacentral:misc_RNA from 1 species